UUAAGUUCAGCGGGUAUCCCUACCUGAUCCGAGGUCAACCUUUAAGAAUGGGGGGUUGCUGGCAAGACACCACCCGGCGUCUAUAGCGAGGAGCAUUACUACGCUUAGAGCCGGAGGGCACCGCCACUGAUUUUAAGGCCCGCCCAGAGGCGAAUGGCCCAAGUCCCAAGCACGUGGCUGGAUUGGUUUAAAUGACGCUC
rnacentral:misc_RNA from 1 species